rnacentral:lncRNA from 1 species
UCAAACCGUAAUAUAUAUCAAUAAAUCUUAACAAAUAAAAGGAAGUACUUCCAAAUAUUAAUAUCAUAGUAACAUAAAACAUAAACUUAAAUUGUUUGAACUAAAUAGCUAAUGUCAUUAUACAACUAAUCUUAACAAAUAAAAAAUUUCAAAUAAUUUCUACAGCUCUUUGUUAUGUUGAAAUCUUCCAUCUGCUAAAUUAUUGAACAUCAGAUUGUAUGACCUGAAAUUGUAAAAUAAUUUUAUCAAUAGAUGAAAUACAAUAAUUCUCAAUUCUGGGCUAGUUGGAGCUUGCAUGGAAUUGUUACUAGAUAAUUCUAUAUUAAAAGAGAACACACAACACUCAGACAAUGUACGGAAGAGAAACUGCGAUAAUAGUGAACUGAUCGAGACCGUGUCAGGAGCAACUACAUCAUACUGCAGGGACAACAAAAAUUAAAGAAAAAUCGAACAUCUUUUAUUCAUAUAAAAUCGUUAAGCAAACACGAUCCAUCUCAAAUUAACUUAUAAUUGUUUUUCUUUAAGAAACAAAAAUCUGAAAUCCUUACUAAGCACCGAGUAUCCAUACAAAAUUUAAGCCUACAAAGGCAAAUGGAAACAGAUUUUAGUAGAGAAGUGUUAACACACCUUCUGUCUUAAAUAUAAUUAACUUUCAUACUCAAGAAGAAAAAACAAACUGCAGAAAUCCCUGCUUACAUUCAUGUAAAUGCUUUCUAGCCACCACCAGCAGAACCAGAUGGAAUCACCUUUAACACAUUAAACCUCACCGUCUGGAACAAAGUCCUGCUCUGUCCAAUGAAACAUGAGCUCUCUUUUUCAGACGGAAGCAAGAUGAUAUGUGAGCUAGGAAAUUUAGACCCUAUAAAGUCCUACAUUGUAAUUCACAAACUAAAGUAUCCAAGAAUAAUCUCAGAAUUCAUAGGCCAGUGCAUAUAAGUUCAGUACCAUUAUCAGUUAUGACCAAACCAUGAACUUUCACUAGCCACCACAAAAGUUCCUCAGUUUAUGGCUAGACCAAGUUACCGAGAGUUACUUGGAUCUAGCUGAAACUUUCUUAUAUCAAUGAAUCAAAUAUGUCAUCGAUCUUCACGAUUUCAGUAGUUCUAUAAUGUUUGACUUGCGCAAACAUACAGAAAGAUACCUUAUACACCCCAGUAAAAACUGAUAAAACACACAAAUACACUGAUAAAGAAGAAUGAUGUUCAAACCCGGGUACACAAGAAGUUUGGAACUACACUAUGAAACAUCAUAAGUGACCACCUUCAUUGAAGUAUCAUUUAAAGUAGUGCAAAGCAAAUGAUUCUGCUUCAAAUGCAUGUCACUCGGACCAAGAGGACGUGUAGCAAAGUACUUACGAUGUAGCAAAGUACAUACCUUGGUUCAUAAACCUUUUAAGAAUAGAAUUAUUAAAUUUAUAAAUUAUACUCCUUCAAUGGUUUUCAUCUCCAAAUAUAUACUCCAAAAUGCACUACUUUUCCAUGAUUAUUACCAUGUGAAUAUUCAUUCUUUUUUGUUUAGCUAUACAAGACCAAAUAAACUCCUAAACUUUAAAUUGGAAAAUCAUUGAACAAGUUCAACAACUUAAAGAAAUAUUUAAAACAUAUUGUGCGAUUCACAUGGCUAGAGUAAUAUGUUUGGUAUUUAAAAAGAAUUAUUUAUUUAUGUGUCCUCUUUUCCUUUAUAUAGAUAUUUAGUUAGAAACAAUCAAUAACAACAACAACCACCACCUAGUAGAAUUCACCAGUAGGGUCAGGAGAAGUUAGAGUGUACGCAAACCUUACUCCUACCCCAGAGGGAUAGAUAUUUUGUUCCGAGGGAGACUGAACUGCAAAGCAACAUUACCACUAAAUUAGUGAUACCAUAUUGGCCAAACAAAACCGAACACACAAGACAAGGUGCUUACUUUGUCCUUUUUCAAUCAAUCUACUAUCUAAUGAAAUUCAUGAUAAGGUGUUCUAUAUGAGAUUAUUACUAACCGAAAAAAGAAUAAAAUCCUAGAUAGUACAAAGACAAAAAGGAAUAAAUUCCUAAAUAAUACAAAAACAAGUGAUCACAAACCGAUACUGAGUGGACAAAAGAAAAUAGAAAUCCAGGAAAAAUGCAUCGUCAAUUAAACAAAUUGCAACUGACAAAAGCUUAUAAUACAAGACAAUUAUAACAAAAGUUAGGAUUGGAUGGAGUGCAAAUCUUCAAACACACAGUACUCAUUCAGUCAUGUUGAACAACCAAAGUCACUGCAGCAAAAAGUUCUAUUGAUCAACUAAGGUUAUAUUAUUUAGAACUCCAAAGAACUAACAACUUAUAAAACAGUGCACAUAUAGGCAAACAUAAAAGGUUACGAAUUUUAGACAUCCAAAGUUCCCUAGUAAACAAGUAAACAGGAGUAUAGCAUGUAGAUUAGUUGUGUAAUAGAGAAAACGUAGUAUAUACCUUUGCAUUUGCCCAAAACUAGGCAAAAUCAUCUACCCACAGAUUGCGGUCAUCCACUAAGAUGAGGCACAAAUACCAGCAAUAAAUGAGUCAACUGCUGAACAAAACUGCAUCUGUAGCUAGUAAACUGAAGGCAGUGCAAUGCAUUGCAUCACCACUCUAUCUAUAAUGAAACUAUGGUACGUAUCUAGACAAUCUAGCAUGACUCGAAAACCAAUGUGCUAGCAAUUAUCAAGAAACCUAUGAGACACUGUUUGCCUUUGAGUUUCCUAAUCCAACAAAAAUGGAGGUUUUCUUUAGAAAUAUAUAUGCUACAGUGGAGAGCAACAAAGGACAUGACAAAACAGCUGAUAACAGUGUGCAUUCAUAUCACAAGCACAUUUCAAUAAAUUUCCAGACAUAUUAAACAAAAGAAUUUCCAUUCAGCUGUAAGGGGGGACAUUGAUGCAAAUUAUUCCUAAUGUCAGGCAUAGAUCAACUUCUCAAGAAUUAAACUAGUAAGAGCAACUACAUAGCUAUAGUUCUAUACUUCCAAUAAUUUAAAGUUUUCAUUCUUAAUACUUCUUUUAGCUAUAACUUUCCAAGAUUUGUUUAUUCCUUUCAUAUCUACCAUAUGUAGAGAUUAUAUUUUAUUUUCUUUAGGUAAAGAGCUAAACAACCUAAAGAAAAUGGCUACAGAACCAAAUAAAACUAAAUUCUCCAGAAAAUCAAUAACAAUCCAUAAAGCAUCUGAAGUAGAAAAUUGUUUGAAAAAAAUCUCAAACAGAUAAUUGCAAUUUAUCAAAAUACAUGAAAUAAAGAGAUUAAAAAACUAAAAAAAUAGAGAUAAUAACAGACCUUGACCUCAGAGGCCUCUUGGCUUCUUCAAUUUGAGAAAAAUAGCUUCUUAGAGGUUCCUCGACAAGCUUCGACGAAGAAGAAGCGCAGUACCUAUUUUUGCAUUGUCAACGGCAAUGUUGACAUUGUCAAGCUGUUUGGUAUGUAGGAUCAACGAAUUUUUUAGAUCUACUCUACUUCUAUAUUGAGCCACUUUGAGGAAAACCUGUCUAAAUUGGUGUUUUCUUCCUUUGUGAUGUUUCUCUCUGUAAUGAAGAACAUACUUACUAAUUUCAAUUAGCUUUUAGUAAUCAAAAGAGGAAGAACAUGAACUAUCAGACUAAUCGAUUGAACAAGAAAUAGAGAGAUGAAUUUUGGGUGCUAGGGUUUUAGUGGAGAUUCAUUGUUCAUUCCUCUAUGCACUGGAUAAAAGAAAAAGAAUAAAAGAAUGACUAAUUAAUUAUUAUGAAUAUUAAGGAGGGAAAUGAAAACAAAAUUAGAGGGAGUGUAAAAAAGUAUCCCGCUCUUGGACUUCUUAGGAAUUCAGUAAAAGGCAUAAGGUUUGGUGGCUAUUGUAAGUCAAUUGCUGGGAAAAAGUAUUUAUUCUCGGCAAAUAAUCAAUUGCCGAUAGC